rnacentral:rRNA from 1 species
UUAAGCGACUAAGCGUACACGGUGGAUGCCCUGGCAGUCAGAGGCGAUGAAGGACGUGCUAAUCUGCGAAAAGCGUCGGUAAGGUGAUAUGAACCGUUAUAGCCGGCGAUGUCCGAAUGGGGAAACCCAGUGCAAUUCGUUGCACUAUCGUUUGAUGAAUACAUAGUCAAACGAGGCGAACCGGGGGAACUGAAACAUCUAAGUACCCCGAGGAAAAGAAAUCAACCGAGAUUCCCCCAGUAGCGGCGAGCGAACGGGGAGCAGCCCGGAGUCUGAAUCAGCUUGUGUGUUAGUGGAAGCGUCUGGAAAGUCGCAGGGUACAGGGUGAUACUCCCGUACACUAAAACGCACAGGUUGUGAACUCGAAGAGUAGGGCGGGACACGUGGUAUCCUGUCUGAAUAUGGGGGGACCAUCCUCCAAGGCUAAAUACUCCUGACUGACCGAUAGUGAACCAGUACCGUGAGGGAAAGGCGAAAAGAACCCCGGCGAGGGGAGUGAAAAAGAACCUGAAACCGUGUACGUACAAGCAGUAGGAGCCUCUUUAUGGGGUGACUGCGUACCUUUUGUAUAAUGGGUCAGCGACUUAUAUUCUGUAGCAAGGUUAACCGUAUAGGGGAGCCGCAGGGAAACCGAGUCUUAACUGGGCGUUAAGUUGCAGGGUAUAGACCCGAAACCCGGUGAUCUAGCCAUGGGCAGGUUGAAGGUUGGGUAACACUAACUGGAGGACCGAACCGACUAAUGUUGAAAAAUUAGCGGAUGACUUGUGGCUGGGGGUGAAAGGCCAAUCAAACCGGGAGAUAGCUGGUUCUCCCCGAAAGCUAUUUAGGUAGCGCCUCGUGAACUCAUCUUCGGGGGUAGAGCACUGUUUCGGCUAGGGGGUCAUCCCGACUUACCAACCCGAUGCAAACUACGAAUACCGAAGAAUGUUAUCACGGGAGACACACGGCGGGUGCUAACGUCCGUCGUGAAGAGGGAAACAACCCAGACCGCCAGCUAAGGUCCCAAAGUCAUGGUUAAGUGGGAAACGAUGUGGGAAGGCCCAGACAGCCAGGAUGUUGGCUUAGAAGCAGCCAUCAUUUAAAGAAAGCGUAAUAGCUCACUGGUCGAGUCGGCCUGCGCGGAAGAUGUAACGGGGCUAAACCAUGCACCGAAGCUGCGGCAGCGACACUAUGUGUUGUUGGGUAGGGGAGCGUUCUGUAAGCCGUUGAAGGUGGCCUGUGAGGGUUGCUGGAGGUAUCAGAAGUGCGAAUGCUGACAUAAGUAACGAUAAUGCGGGUGAAAAACCCGCACGCCGGAAGACCAAGGGUUCCUGUCCAACGUUAAUCGGGGCAGGGUGAGUCGACCCCUAAGGCGAGGCCGAAAGGCGUAGUCGAUGGGAAACAGGUUAAUAUUCCUGUACUUGGUGUUACUGCGAAGGGGGGACGGAGAAGGCUAUGUUAGCCGGGCGACGGUUGUCCCGGUUUAAGCAUGUAGGCGGAUGUUCCAGGUAAAUCCGGAACGUUACUAACGCUGAGGUGUGAUGACGAGGCACUACGGUGCUGAAGUGACAAAUGCCCUGCUUCCAGGAAAAGCCUCUAAGCAUCAGGUAACAUCAAAUCGUACCCCAAACCGACACAGGUGGUCAGGUAGAGAAUACCAAGGCGCUUGAGAGAACUCGGGUGAAGGAACUAGGCAAAAUGGUGCCGUAACUUCGGGAGAAGGCACGCUGAUAUGUAGGUGAAGUGGUUUACCCAUGGAGCUGAAAUCAGUCGAAGAUACCAGCUGGCUGCAACUGUUUAUUAAAAACACAGCACUGUGCAAACACGAAAGUGGACGUAUACGGUGUGACGCCUGCCCGGUGCCGGAAGGUUAAUUGAUGGGGUUAUCCGUAAGGAGAAGCUCUUGAUCGAAGCCCCGGUAAACGGCGGCCGUAACUAUAACGGUCCUAAGGUAGCGAAAUUCCUUGUCAGGUAAG